rnacentral:rRNA from 1 species
UACGUAGGGGGCAAGCGUUGUCCGGAAUCAUUGGGCGUAAAGAGCGUGUAGGCGGCCCGGUAAGUCCGCUGUGAAAGUCCAGGGCUCAACCCUGGGAUGCCGGUGGAUACUGUCGGGCUCGAGUCCGGAAGAGGAGUGUGGAAUUCCUGGUGUAGCGGUGAAAUGCGCAGAUAUCAGGAGGAACACCAAUGGCGAAGGCAGCACUCUGGGACGUGACUGACGCUGAGGCGCGAAAGCGUGGGGAGCAAACAGG